ensembl:snRNA U6 U6 spliceosomal RNA
GUGUUUGCUUCAGUAGCAUGUAUACAAAAAUUGGAAUGGUACAGAGAAGAUUAGCUUGGCCCCUACACAAGGAUAACAUGCAAAGUGUUGAAGAGUUCCAUAUUUUU